AAAAACUCAAUUCCUAAGUUACCGUGUACUACGUUUGACUGUCCAUCUUAUAUGAAAUUUUUUUUAUGAUUACUAUUUUUAUUGUUGUUAGAUAAUAAAACAAGAAUAAUAUUUUAUACAUGAUUUAUCUUUUUAAUUUUUUUUAUAAUUUUUUUAAAUAAGACGGAUGGUUAAAUGUUAGACACAUAAGCUUAAGAAUCGAGUUAUU
rnacentral:pre_miRNA from 1 species